AAAAACUUAGUUAAAUAAUAACAUUAGCUUGUCAAGCUAAAAUUAUUCACAGAAUAGUUUUUA
rnacentral:tRNA from 1 species